GAUGAACGCUGGCGGCGUGCCUAAUACAUGCAAGUCGAGCGAACAGACGAGGAGCUUGCUCCUCUGACGUUAGCGGCGGACGGGUGAGUAACACGUGGAUAACCUACCUAUAAGACUGGGAUAACUUCGGGAAACCGGAGCUAAUACCGGAUAAUAUAUUGAACCGCAUGGUUCAAUAGUGAAAGACGGUUUUGCUGUCACUUAUAGAUGGAUCCGCGCCGCAUUAGCUAGUUGGUAAGGUAACGGCUUACCAAGGCAACGAUGCGUAGCCGACCUGAGAGGGUGAUCGGCCACACCGGAACUGAGACACGGUCCAGAAUCCUACGGGAGGCAGCAGUAGGGAAUCUUCCGCAAUGGGCGAAAGCCUGACGGAGCAACGCCGCGUGAGUGAUGAAGGUCUUCGGAUCGUAAAACUCUGUUAUUAGGGAAGAACAAAUGUGUAAGUAACUAUGCACGUCUUGACGGUACCUAAUCAGAAAGCCACGGCUAACUACGUG
rnacentral:rRNA from 1 species